GCCAGACGCGGUGGCUCACAUCUGUAAUCCCAGCACUUUGGGAGGCUGAGGCGGGUGGAUCACUUGAGGUCAGGAGUUCUAGACUACCCUGGCCAACAUGGUGAAACCCCGUCUCUACUAAAAAUACAAAAAUUAGCCGGGCGUGGUGACGCAUGCCUGUAAUCCCAGCUACUCAGGAGGCUGAGGCAGGAGAAUCCCUUGAACCUGGGAGGUAGAGGUUGCAGUGAGCUGGGAUUGCACCACUGCACUCUAGCCUGGGCAACAGAGUGAGACUCCAUCUCA
rnacentral:sRNA from 1 species